rnacentral:rRNA from 1 species
UACGAAGGGGGCUAGCGUUGCUCGGAAUAACUGGGCGUAAAGCGCACGUAGGCGGCUUUCUAAGUCAGGGGUGAAAUCCUGGAGCUCAACUCCAGAACUGCCUUUGAUACUGGAGAGCUCGAGUUCGGGAGAGGUGAGUGGAACUGCGAGUGUAGAGGUGAAAUUCGUAGAUAUUCGCAAGAACACCAGUGGCGAAGGCGGCUCACUGGCCCGAUACUGACGCUGAGGUGCGAAAGCGUGGGGAGCAAACAGG